AACGCACCUUGCGCCCUUUGGUAUUCCGAUGGGCAUGCCUGUUCGAGUGUCUUGAAUUCAUCGCCGCCUCCGGUUUUGCGACCGGCUGGCGGCGGACUUGGGGGUCUGCCGCGGCAACGCGGCUCCCUUUGAAUGUAUCGGUGGGGUCUCCGAGCACCCACGGGCGUUGUAUUGUCCUCGUCCGACCGGGCCUCGCGUCCCCCGCCUCGACCUGCCGUCUGAGCGGCGGUCAAGCACACUUUGAAAUCUGACCUCGAAUCAGGUAGGACUACCCGCUGAACUUAA
rnacentral:misc_RNA from 1 species